GACACGUGACCGCGACGCCACGUGACUCGGGUCUCGCCUCCGACCCCCGCCCGGUCUCCGGCCGGCGGAAGCAGAAGGCGGGCGGUGGGCGCGGCUGGUCACCUCCUUGCGGGGCCUCUGGGUCCGUCCUGGAGCUGCCAGAUGAAAAGAGGGGUUUGGAGCGGACGUGCGGCUCUCCGUCGCGGGCCGAGGGCUCUGCCCGGUUCUUCUCUUUUCUCGACUGCUGCUCCGCGCUCUGGCCACACCGGCCCUUUGCAGAGAGAGGUGACGCCCGCCUGCCCUGCUGCUUCGUUGAGCACUUCCAACCCCACCUCCUGGGGAAACGUGCCUCCAGUUCACCUUCGGUGCAGCCUUGGAAGCCCCUUCCUGUGUUGAGAAAACGCCUUACCCUCUGAAUAUGGAUGGCAGACAGAGCGCCCAGCAGAAGUGAAAAAACCAGAUGGUCACUUUCCCAGCCUUCCUAGCGGCUAAGCUGGAGCAGGCCUGUACGGAAGAAUUUUCCAUCGUGGACCAGUUGGUUACUCCAAAAUACCAUCCCUACAGGAAAGGUGGGAUCCGUGCCUGAUUCGUGAUUCUUUUGUCUGGCUUCAGAGUAAGAACUCAGCGCUGAAGCAGCUUCCAAAAGUGAACUGCCGCGCCCGGCGUGAACCGUGCGCUCUGGGGGGUGAUGACCUGUCUUUGCGGGUUCCUCAGAGGUGACCGUCCCCCACCUGGUGUGGACACUGAUGGUGGGGGAGGCCGUGCGUGGCGGGAAGGUGGCAGAGGGGGUAUGGGAACUCUGUACUUUCAAUUUGGCUAUGAACCUGAAACUGCUCUAAAAAAUACAGUUUAUUAAUUAAAAAGCAAAGUGAACCAUCACAUUUUAAAAAAUGUGAUGUUAAAGCGCUAUGUUACCGUGGAUUUCUGUGUAGUUGAUAUGUCUUCAGUCUUUUGUAGUUAUUAUCAUUUUCAGGUUAAAAUCGUGUGGUCUUUGUAGUGCAGCCUUCUAGAUGUGAGUGACUGUGACACUUCUCUCCACGUGGGCUGCCGCUGUUGCUGUCGCACCAGCUAUGCAUCAGCAGAGAGCCCGUGUGCCCGCAGCCUGACCCUGAGCUGUGAGAAAUUAGGUCCCUGUAGUUUUCAUUUGCAUUUUCCUUAUGAGUGGGGCACCUGCCUUUUUUGCCCAUCUUUCUAUCAGAUUAUAGAGAUAUUUGCAAUACAAGUCACACUUUUAAAGUCAGUGUAUCAUUUUUAGAAUCAUUUUGUUAUUUUAGUUUGCUUAUGGCAUGUUUUUGUUUGCAGAAGUUCUUUUGUUUAAACGUGGGUGAAUUGAUCACUCUUCCACAGCAUUUGGGUUUUAAGUCCUUCCUAGUCCUAGGUUAGAAGACUCCGUCUGUGUUCUGCCAGUGCGUGUGUAGUUUCAUUUCUGCAUUUGUAUCUCUGAUGCAGGGUGCCGACGGGCAGGGCAGAGAAGGGGUCCGUGUCACCCUUCCACGCAGGUCUCUAGGUGUCCUCCUUCCACUUAUCGAAAGCUCACCUUUUGCCCACUGAUUGGAGAUUCCACCCUCAUCCUGUGCUGACGUGAGAAUGUACUUGACUUUAUGAUUUUUGGAGCUGCCCCAGCACCACUCUUUUGAAGUUAUAGAUGCUGUAUCUGCAGGGCCAGCUCCCUCACUUUUCUCCUUCACGGUUUUUCUAACUAUUGUUGUCUAUUUUGCCAUAUGAUCUUUUGCAAGCAAGUUGUCUUUAAAAAUAAAAUAACGUUCACCCAAGAGAA